CUUGCUCUCGGGUGACGAGCGGCGGACGGGUGAGUAAUGUCUGGGAAACUGCCUGAUGGAGGGGGAUAACUACUGGAAACGGUAGCUAAUACCGCAUAACGUCCCAAGACCAAAGUGGGGGACCUUCGGGCCUCAUGCCAUCAAAUGUGCCCAGAUGGGAUUAGCUAGUAGGUGGGGUAACGGCUCACCUAGGCGACCAUCCCUAGCUGGUCUGAGAGGAUGACCACCCACACUGGAACUGAGACACGGUCCAGACUCCUACGGGAGGCAGCACUGGGGAAUAUUGCACAAUGGGCGCAAGCCUGAUGCAGCCAUGCCGCGUGUAUCGAAGAACCUUACCUGGUCUUGACAUCCACAGAACUUAGCAGAGAUGCUUUGGUGCCUUCGGGAACUGUGAGACAGGUGCUGCAUGGCUGUCGUCAGCUCGUGUUGUGAAAUGUUGGGUUAAGUCCCGCAACGAGCGCAACCCUUAUCCUUUGUUGCCAGCGGUUAGGCCGGGAACUCAAAGGAGACUGCCAGUGAUAAACUGGAGGAAGGUGGGGAUGACGUCAAGUCAUCAUGGCCCUUACGACCAGGGCUACACACGUGCUACAAUGGCAUAUACAAAGAGAAGCGACCUCGCGAGAGCAAGCGGACCUCAUAAAGUAUGUCGUAGUCCGGAUUGGAGUCUGCAACUCGACUCCAUGAAGUCGGAAUCGCUAGUAAUCGUAGAUCAGAAUGCUACGGUGAAUACGUUCCCGGGCCUUGUACACACCGCCCGUCACACCAUGGGAGUGGGUUGCAAAAGAAGUAGGUAGCUUAACCUUCGGGAGGGCGCUUACCACUUUGUGAUUUAUGACUGGGGUGAAGU
rnacentral:rRNA from 1 species